CCUACGGGUGGCAGCAGUGGGGAAUAUUGGACAAUGGGCGAAAGCCUGAUCCAGCCAUGCCGCGUGUGUGAAGAAGGCCUUCGGGUUGUAAAGCACUUUCAGUGGGGAAGAAAGCCUUGGGGCUAAUACCCUCGAGGAAGGACAUCACCCACAGAAGAAGCACCGGCUAACUCCGUGCCAGCAGCCGCGGUAAUACGGAGGGUGCGAGCGUUAAUCGGAAUUACUGGGCGUAAAGCGCGCGUAGGCGGUCUGAUAAGCCGGUUGUGAAAGCCCCGGGCUCAACCUGGGAACGGCAUCCGGAACUGUCAGGCUAGAGUGCAGGAGAGGAAGGUAGAAUUCCCGGUGUAGCGGUGAAAUGCGUAGAGAUCGGGAGGAAUACCAGUGGCGAAGGCGGCCUUCUGGACUGACACUGACGCUGGGGUGCGAAAGCGUGGGUAGCAAACAGGAUUAGAUACCCCGGUAGUC
rnacentral:rRNA from 1 species